GUUAUCGACCACAGCCGUGACGAACUGUUCACUAAUGCCGGUCUGAAGCAGUUCAUGGAUAAAUACUCUAGACGUAAUAUC
rnacentral:tRNA from 1 species